rnacentral:lncRNA from 1 species
CAAUUGGCUAUAUUUUUGAAAGCAGAGUGUUAACUUUCGAUUUCAUUACCAAAUGCAAAUGGCAUAUAAGAAUAACGUACUAGUAUGUAUUUUAUAUCACAUAAUAAAUAAAUAGGUUCUACAUAGUUAUAUGUAUGUCUGUUUUUUUUGUUUAAAGUAAAGGUGCAUGCUAUUUUUAAAUUUUCUUUGAAACUAAUAAAAAGGGAAAUAUGCUUUAUUCAUAAACAAUGCAACAUAGAUUAUGUAUUUUUUCCAUGUAUAUGGUUCUGAAGUUAUGUUUAAUCAUUUUU